rnacentral:rRNA from 1 species
GACGUAGGGCGCGAGCGUUGUCCGGAUUUAUUGGGCGUAAAGAGCUCGUAGGCGGCUCGUUGCGUCGGCUGUGAAAUCCCGUGGCUUAACUGCGGGCUUGCAGCUGAUACGGGCGGGCUAGAAUUCGGUAGGGGAGACUGGAAUUCCUGGUGUAGCGGUGAAAUGCGCAGAUAUCAGGAGGAACACCGGUGGCGAAGGCGGGUCUCUGGGCCGAUAUUGACGCUGAGGAGCGAAAGCGUGGGGAGCGAACAGG